rnacentral:lncRNA from 1 species
CUAUUUGCUGGCUCGAGCAUUUUAUAUCUGAAAGUAAAAUAUACUUCGUAACUUGUUUCCAUAUUCGAAAGUCGCGUCUUAUCGGUUUUAAAUAAAAGUGACGCCUAGUUAGAGUUGCUAGUUAUAGCGCUUCAGAUGAAAGUGAUCUAAUCAAAAGUGGAGAUAUGGUGACCGAUACGAGAACUUUAUACUUUUCCAUUUAAAAUAUCAAAGCGCCAAAAU